GAUGAACGCUGGCGGCGUGCCUAAUACAUGCAAGUCGAGCGAACGGACGAGAAGCUUGCUUCUCUGAUGUUAGCGGCGGACGGGUGAGUAACACGUGGAUAACCUACCUAUAAGACUGGGAUAACUUCGGGAAACCGGAGCUAAUACCGGAUAAUAUUUUGAACCGCAUGGUUCAAAAGUGAAAGACGGUCUUGCUGUCACUUAUAGAUGGAUCCGCGCUGCAUUAGCUAGUUGGUAAGGUAACGGCUUACCAAGGCAACGAUGCAUAGCCGACCUGAGAGGGUGAUCGGCCACCCUGGAACUGAGACCCGGUCCAGACUCCUACGGGAGGCAGCAGUAGGGAAUCUUCCGCCAUGGGCGAAAGCCUGACGGAGCAACGCCGCGUGAGUGAUGAAGGUCUUCGGAUCGUAAAACUCUGUUAUUAGGGAAGAACAUAUGUGUAAGUAACUGUGCACAUCUUGACGGUACCUAAUCAGAAAGCCACGGCUAACUACGUG
rnacentral:rRNA from 1 species